ACCAGUACUUCCUAAAACAUCAUCUCUGA
rnacentral:piRNA from 1 species